AUUGAACGCUGGCGGCAGGCCUAACACAUGCAAGUCGAACGAGUGGCGGACGGGUGAGUGAUUUCUGGGAAACUGCCUGAUGGAGGGGGAUAACUACUGGAAACGGUAGCUACUAACGCAUACCAUCAGAUGUGCCCAGAUGGGCUUAGCUUGUUGGUGGGGUAACGGCUCACCAAGGCGACGAUGCCUAGCUGGUCUGAGAGGAUGACCAGCCACACUGGAACUGAGACACGGCCCAGACUCCUACGGGAGGCAGCAGUGGGGAAUAUUGCACAAUGGGCGAAAGCCUGAUGCAGCAAUGCCGCGUGGAUGAAGAAGGCUUUCGGGUUGUAAAGCUCUGUUAGCGGGGAGGCGGUAACCGAAGAAGAAGCACCGGCUAACUCCGUGCCAGCAGCCGCGGUAAUAC
rnacentral:rRNA from 1 species